CCUUUUUUCCCUCCUCUUUCCCCCAUCGUUUCCCCUCAUUUUGCCCCCAUCCCUCCUCUGAGUGUUCCCAGCCCUCCCGGGAGGGUGCUUCUGGGCCGUGCCGGCCCCCGCGGCGGCUCCCGUGCAGGAUGAGGCUGCCGUUCGCCUUUCCGCGGGUCAGGCAUCUCCGUGCCCUCUCCCAGAGUGCGCCGGGGCUGUCCCUGCGACCCGGCCCGGGAAAGAGCCUCCGGGGACGGCAGGGAUUCCGCUACCGCAGCGAUAAAAGUCCACGAAAAUAGGGACUGAGAAAGGAGCAGCGGAUGCCAUCAUCAGGGAAUGUCGGGAUGCCGCAAUCCCCACACGUGCAGCAGGUGCCCGCGCCAGCCGCUGUCGCCAGCUCGGGUUUUGCAGCAGCUGCGAAGGGAGAAGAGGGAAGCAGCGGCCGGACCUGCGGGGUCCCGCUGCCAUCGGCUCGGGAGGGCACCGCAUCCCCCGGGCACGCGCGGCGGGGGGAGCGCGGGAUCAGACAUCAAAGAUGAAUAUAAAUAGGAAAGAAGCCAGAGAUAAAAAGGACCAUAAGGCUGGAACAGUCCGUGGAGAUAUUCCAUGUUUAUA